GCGGUGGAGCAUGUGGUUUAAUUCGACGCAACGCGAAGAACCUUACCUGGCUUGACAUCCCGAUCGUACCUGCUGGUAAACAGCGGGGUCAGUUCGGCUGGAUCGGAGACAGGUGCUGCAUGGCUGUCGUCAGCUCGUGUCGUGAGAUGUUGGGUUAAGUCCCGCAACGAGCGCAACCCUUGUCCUUAGUUGCCAUCAUUUAGUUGGGCACUCUAAGGAGACUGCCGGUGUUAAACCGGAGGAAGGUGGGGAUGACGUCAAGUCCUCAUGGCCCUUAUGUCCAGGGCUACACACGUGCUACAAUGGCCGGUACAAAGGGCAGCAAAGCCGCGAGGUGGAGCCAAUCCCAGAAAACCUGUCUCAGUCCGGAUUGAAGUCUGCAACUCGACUUCAUGAAGGCGGAAUCGCUAGUAACCGCGAAUCAGCAGGUCGCGGUGAAUACGUUCCCGGGCCUU
rnacentral:rRNA from 1 species